rnacentral:rRNA from 1 species
CCCGCACAAGCGGAGGAGCAUGUGGUUUAAUUCGAUGAUACGCGAGGAACCUUACCUGGGCUUAAAUGCUUAAUGACGUACUGGGAAACUGGUAUUUCUUCGGACAUUUUGCAAGGUGCUGCAUGGUUGUCGUCAGCUCGUGCCGUGAGGUGUCGGGUUAAGUCCCAUAACGAGCGCAACCCCUAUUGUUAGUUGCCAUCAGGUCAUGCUGGGGACUCUAACAAAACUGCCCGCGUAAGCGUGGAGGAAGGUGGGGAUGACGUCAAAUCAGCACGGCCCUUACGUCCAGGGCUACACACGUGCUACAAUGGCCGGUACAGAGGGCAGCCACUUGGUGACAAGGAGCAAAUCUCAAAAGCCGGUCUCAGUUCGGAUCGGAGUCUGCAACUCGACUCCGUGAAGUUGGAUUCGCUAGUAAUCGUAGAUCAGCAAUGCUACGGUGAAUACGUUCCCGGGCCUU